UACGUAGGGCGCAAGCGUUAUCCGGAAUUAUUGGGCGUAAAGAGCUCGUAGGCGGUUUGUCGCGUCUGCCGUGAAAGUCCGGGGCUCAACUCCGGAUCUGCGGUGGGUACGGGCAGACUAGAGUGCAGUAGGGGAGACUGGAAUUCCUGGUGUAGCGGUGAAAUGCGCAGAUAUCAGGAGGAACACCGAUGGCGAAGGCAGGUCUCUGGGCUGUAACUGACGCUGAGGAGCGCAAGCAUGGGGAGCGAACAGG
rnacentral:rRNA from 1 species